GCCUGGGUGGCUUAGUCGGUCAGGCGUCUGAUUUCAGCUCAGGUCAUGAUCUUGCUGUUUGUGGGUUCAAGCCUCACAUCAGGCU
rnacentral:tRNA from 1 species